rnacentral:rRNA from 1 species
CCCCUUACUCCCCUUGGUCGUUGGCCUUCCGUCCCGACCCCACGAACCUAGGAACUAGGGAGUUUAACACGUUAACCCGUUCGGGUAACGUUCCAUGGACCUUUAGGGUUAAACCGGUUACGGGACCGACGUUAGGGUGGGGUUCGGGGGUUUCCCGGUUUUUCCCGGGGUUCCCCCCGUUACCCCGUUUAGGUCGUCGUCGACGACGUAACGUACGACUAAGUACGACUACCGCCUCGGAGGGUACGGCCGGCCACGAGUCGAACUACAAGAAAGUAGUACGGGACGGGGCCCGCACAAGCGGUGGAGCAUGUGGUUUAAUUCGAAGCAACGCGAACGUAACCUUACCAGGUUCUUGACACUCCCGCU